rnacentral:ncRNA from 1 species
UAAUGAUAAAGGCAAACUUAAAGAAAUUUAAGGACGCAAAACUAUAGGGUCUUAACUCAGGGAGAAAGAUAGCCAGCUACCAAA